rnacentral:rRNA from 1 species
CCUACGGGGGGCAGCAGUGGGGAAUAUUGGACAAUGGGCGAAAGCCUGAUCCAGCCAUGCCGCGUGUGUGAAGAAGGCCUUCGGGUUGUAAAGCACUUUCAGUGGGGAAGAAAGCCUUGGGGCUAAUACCCUCGAGGAAGGACAUCACCCACAGAAGAAGCACCGGCUAACUCCGUGCCAGCAGCCGCGGUAAUACGGAGGGUGCGAGCGUUAAUCGGAAUUACUGGGCGUAAAGCGCGCGUAGGCGGUCUGAUAAGCCGGUUGUGAAAGCCCCGGGCUCAACCUGGGAACGGCACCGGACCGGACAGGCAGGGUGGGAGGAGGGGAGGGUAAAGUCCCGGGGGUAGUGGUGAGUGGAGUAGGGAUCGGGAGAACACCCAGUGGCAAAGGGGGCUUUCUGAAUUGACACGAACGCUGGGGGGCAAAAGGGGGGGUAGCAAACAGGUUGAAAUCCCCUAGAGUUC